UUAAAUAUAUUUUUCUAGUAUAUUUAUAGGUAUGAGUAUAUUUUACCUUAGAAUUAUUGAUAAAGGUUUGCAUGCUUUUAUUUACUACAUUAUGUAAGCUAAAAAAACAACCUUUUAAAACUUGUGCUUGGGCUAUGUUGUAAAACAUACAGCUUCUUCACAAAAAGUAUUAGUGUUACUCAUAUAAGAUUUAUUUAUACCUAAUACUUAUUAAAUUAGAUAUGUGUGUAAAACUAUUUUUUUACUAGGAUUUCUGAUGCACUGGUUAAAAACACAGCAGCCAAUAAUUCAGUUAAUUUACCAAGUGAUUUACCCUUCAAAGCUACAGGGGUAGCUUUCCUGAAGAGUGCAAAAACUUCUUUAGCUUUCAAAAUGGUAUAUAGUACAAACAGUGAAGCUAAUAUAGACACAUCUGAUCAUUCAUCAUCAACAAUAACUGCAUCUGAGAAUUAUAGUUCUACAGUAACCGUGGAGUCUAGGUCAACAAUUACUAUUUCUCAUCCAAGCCGUUUUUGUUUAACUGCUACACAUUCCCUGACUCUGCCAAGGAAAAGGGUAAAAUCAAAAUGAUAUCCUGAGGACCUG